rnacentral:tRNA from 1 species
UAGGAAGUGGUGUAAAGGAAGCACUAGGAGUUUUGAUCUCCUCAGAUCGGGUUCGAGCCCCGUUUUCCUAA